UACGUAGGGUGCAAGCGUUGUCCGGAAUUAUUGGGCGUAAAGAGCUUGUAGGCGGUCUGUCGCGUCUGCUGUGAAAAUCCGGGGCUCAACCCCGGACUUGCAGUGGGUACGGGCAGACUAGAGUGUGGUAGGGGAGACUGGAAUUCCUGGUGUAGCGGUGAAACGCGUAGAUAUCUGGAGGAACACCGGUGGCGAAGGCGACAUCCUGGACCGGUAUUGACGCUGAGGCGCGAAAGCCAGGGGAGCAAACGGG
rnacentral:rRNA from 1 species